AUGGAGAACAUGCUGGAAUGUGCACUCAUAGUCUUGUGGCUGCAGCUUGGAUGGUUGAGUGGUGAAGACCGAGUGGAGCAGAGUCCUCAGACCCUGAGAAUCCAGGAAGGGGACAGUCUCAGUCUCAACUACAGCUACACUGUCAGCCGUUUUAGCGGGCUACAGUGGUAUAGACAAGAUCCUGGAAAGGGCCCCGAACUCCUCUUCCUUCUUUACUCAGUUGGGGAUGAAAAGCAGGAAGAAAGACUGAGAGCCACCUUGUUAAAGAAGGGAAGUUCUCUGCACAUUGAAGCACCCAAACCUGAAGACUCAGCCACGUACCUCUGCACUGUGGAGACACAGUGCUCCCCAGGCACCUGCAGACUGUACCCAAACCCUGAAGCGGCGCCUCUAGAAUAA